ensembl:lncRNA
CUUUACGAGGAGCACAUGAACGCAGCACCUGCAAAAGCACCGUGGUCCGUCCUGCUAAUUAGGAACACCUGGCACCGCGAGGAGGUCGAGGACCAAACGACACCAGCCAGACAUCCCCGGAGAACUGGCGUUUGAAGUCAUCUUAAGGAAGAUAUGAAGACGGACCCCCCCACCCCUCCAAAAAAGAAGAGAAAAAAACGGCUCCUCAAUCGGUUAGCCCCCGUGUUGGUGAAAGUAUCGGAAUUUGAGUCGGACUGCAGUGAACUGUCAGUGGGGAAAGGCUCCUCUGCAUCGAGAACUGUGCAGCCACUGAAGGGGAAGACCAAUAACGCAGCAGUUUAAGCCUCAGGCUAGACGGAGCAAGUUCAACCAUCACGUCUGGGGGCGCAACAGGAAAGCAACGUUUUUGAGACUGCAGUCCAGCUUUGGAAACGUGCGUGAAGUCGGGAUGGUUAACAUGUGACUGGACUGACACACUUUGAGGCCAUUUUAUCUGCCGUGGAUGGAAGCAGUCCUGUGGCAUGUGUCUAAUCUGUUUUCAUUUUCUAAUUUCCUCGGUGUACAGAGAUGGUCUCAAGAGAGUGAGCACUUGUCAGUCUCAGUGUGUGGAAAUACCAGGUUCCACCAGAAUGGAGCAGUAAUGCCAUAUUGCACAACCUUGUACAGAAGAUCUAUUGGUACUUCCUAGUUGGAUCAAUGUAGUGGCAAUAAUGGAUCUAUGGGUUGGAUCCUCUCUUAGAUGAUUUUCCUUUAUUAUUGCCACAUUGUUGAAAUGUGCUACACAAAUAAACUUGAUUUUUAGUGAUAUGUUAAGCAAUUUGCUGUUUUUCUUACUUGAUUUGUACAUAGUACUGUGAUAAUCCGUGUUUGUAUGUUAUAUAUGCCACAAAGGAGUGAUCAAAUCAUACCAGUCACAUUUCAAAAGGGCCAGUCGGACAUUAACAGUUCUCCUUUACAGCUAUUGGACUGAAAUGUAAAAUGAACUGCCCUACCAGAAAGUGCUAAUUGGCCAGCUCUACUUUAACACCCCCCCCCCCCUAAUAAGAAUGAUGGACUCUAAGUGGGGAGCAGUCAGACCCUGAACAAAUAAGAGUUUGUAGCUAUGAAUGCUGUGUGUCUAAUGGGGGGGGUGGGGGGGGGCACAGAUUGCUAGCCUACCCCUUACCUGGCUCUCAUACGUGGUGCAAGACAUCGUCACCUACGUUGCCUACGACGAUUGUCGUCUUGUAUCCUGACACGAGCUACAUGAAGACUCUAUUUAUUCUCCAAACCCCCUGAUUUUUAUACAUGUAGUUUUUAAUUCCAACAGACUCCACCCAAUCUUUGCACAGCUCUCUCUGCAGCCAGAAAAGAACGGCAUAACGAUGUGUUUUAGUAAUGCUCCUCCUGAAACAAUUGCCAAUUGCUACAGUUGCCAGGUGCCACCUGUGCUCAAUCUAAAUUCUGAUUAUUCUCUGUAUAGCAGCUAAUGCUGAUAGUGAUAAUUUGUAUUACCAAAGAAAUGUAUAAUGCAUAAUAUAAAAACUGUUUUCUCAAAUUCUGGUCUAAAAGGAUAUGUAUGCAGGUACACAUCAGUGUAUUUGCCAAAGGAUAGACUAAGGAGGAUCCGCAGGUGGGCUCAAUAAAAGCAUAUUAUUGACCACAAAAAAAAACAAUCAAAUUAAAGGAAAUGACACCUUUUCAGAAAGCCAGUGAGGGGUCUGUCAGCCUGAUGGAAUCCUCAUUUCUCUGCACCAUUUGGCAGCAAGUUGCACCUCUCUCUCCCUCGUUCUGCCUUAAUGGCCAUGCUGACAGUGACAUGAUAUUCCACAUAAAAGGAGCCAAGAGGAGCGAGACGGGGUGCAAAACCUCCAUUAACGUGUUUAGAAGUUGUGUAGCUUUAAGGCCUUGUCGGGGUUGGCCAUUAGGGCCAUGCCUCUUUGGCACUUCUUAACUUUGUGCUAAUGUAGUUAAGACGAUUUUGUUUAGUUUAAGUGCUCCGUGCAUGUUGCCAUGAAGCGUUUUACAAGAACAAGUUUUGUGAAGAAAUGUGUUGCGUCCAGAUUUAGAAGAUGAAAAUUGUUGUUAUGAUUAUGAAU